rnacentral:lncRNA from 1 species
UUGGUAGCAACUUCCCUUAGCAGUCUUAAAACAUGUUUUUGUUUUUUUUUCCCAGGUUAAUGGGAUAUAUGGACGGGAGACUUGAGCUUACUCCCUUGGAACCAUGACAGUUUGAGGUGUUGCCUGGCUCAGCCCUUGGAUGGGAAAGGAAAGAAUAACUUGAACAUCUCUCCAGUCAUUUCCUGAUAUUUUCAGUUAGAGAACAGAUGUGAUUCACUCCAGAAGGGACUGCUGAGUGCUCCCAUGUGUCUGAUCUACUAAGCAAGCAACCUUGGGAAGAUACAGUGUGGCUGUGUGCAUUGAUGAUCAGAAGAUUUGCCAUAGGAAUCCAGAAACACUGCCUUCCAGAGAACCGACUGUUGGCAUGGAAAACAAACACCAGAGAAACCCUGGAAUUCCGAGAUGUAGUUGACUUUCUGAAUGCAGGCAAGUUGCAAUUAAAAAACAGUUAUUUGGGGAGAGCAAUGCAUUCAAAAUACAGUUCUUUGGAGAGGGCUGGCAGGCACAUCACAAGUGAAAUAAAUUAGUAAUGUGAGGAGAUAGUUAUGCUUGAGGAUUAACGAAUUUUGGACAGCUGUAGGAGCCAACCCACUGGGCUCUGUGCAUUGCCUCACUGUAACUAUUUAUGCUGCUCCUCUGGAUACCGGGGCAUCACAGAGCCAGGCAUCUGAAGCACAGCUUUUCCCUACAAAUGCAACCAAACCAGCUGCUGCAUUUUGCAGAGAUCCUGACACUAUAGUGCUGAGCUGCUCUCCAUUCCACUUGGUGAAAUCCGCUCACCUCAGUCUGCGUGUUAGGGGUAUGGCCGGUCAGUCAGGCUUUGCUAGUAUGGGGCCGAGCAAGGAGAAAUAUCCUUAGUAGAGAUAUUUAUUGCAAAGCUGCUGAAAGGCUCACAGUAGACAGCCUACACAACGAAACCAUCUCCUUCAAUUAGUCCAUGGUCAUCAAUGAGGUAAAUGUCUCUGCCUUCUGACCCAGACAGGGUGGAGUUUUAAUAACAGACAUAAAUCUGUUGUGCUUCUCUCCUCAUGACCUAACGUAUGCUGUCAGGGCAAUGCAUGCCUCAGAGAAGGAGUAGAAUUUAUGUGUACAAUAAAACAAUAGAGCUUCAGUGCUAUCAGCUGUUU